UACAGAGGGUGCGAGCGUUGUCCGGAAUCACUGGGCGUAAAGGGCGCGUAGGCGGUCUGCUAAGCGUGUGGUGAAAGCCCGGGGCUCAACCCCGGGUCGGCCAUGCGAACUGGUGGACUGGAGCCUGUCAGAGGCAAGCGGAAUUCCGGGUGUAGCGGUGGAAUGCGUAGAGAUCCGGAAGAACACCGGUGGCGAAGGCGGCUUGCUGGGACAGUGCUGACGCUGAGGCGCGACAGCGUGGGGAG
rnacentral:rRNA from 1 species